GCUGGGUGCGGUGGCUCACGCCUGUAAUCCCAGCACUUUGGGAGGCUGAGACGGGUGGAUCACCUGAGGUCAGGAGUUCGAGACCAGCCUGGCCAACAUGAUGAAACCCCGUCUCUU
rnacentral:SRP_RNA from 1 species